rnacentral:rRNA from 1 species
GAUGAACGCUGACAGAAUGCUUAACACAUGCAAGUCAACUUGAAUUUGGGUUUUUAACUUAGGUUUGGGCGGCGGACGGGUGAGUAACGCGUAAAGAACUUGCCUCACAGCUAGGGACAACAUUUGGAAACGAAUGCUAAUACCUAAUAUUAUGAUAAUAGGGCAUCCUAUAAUUAUGAAAGCUAUAAGCGCUGUGAGAGAGCUUUGCGUCCCAUUAGCUAGUUGGAGAGGUAACGGCUCACCAAGGCGAUGAUGGGUAGCCGGCCUGAGAGGGUGAUCGGCCACAAGGGGACUGAGACACGGCCCUUACUCCUACGGGAGGCAGCAGUGGGGAAUAUUGGACAAUGGACCAAGAGUCUGAUCCAGCAAUUCUGUGUGCACGAUGAAGUUUUUCGGAAUGUAAAGUGCUUUCAGUUGGGAAGAAAGAAAUGACGGUACCAACAGAAGAAGUGACGGCUAAAUACGUG